CGGGAGUCUUGUGCCCAGAUAAGUUGAAGAUAGUGUAGUCAAGUUUGAAGUCCUUUUUGGAGCAGUGAGUGAUGGAAAGGAAGCAUUGAAAUCACAGGCAGGAUGACAACUGUUUAUGCGAACGCAGCUCAUCUCAUCAAAUAACCAGUCAGUUACAAGACCUAAUUGCAUCAUUCAAAACAGUUGCUUCAGCAAAUAAAUCUGCAUUUCCCCCCGACAGUUAAUGAUUUAAUAGAAGCAAUGCUUUACGCCAAAUUUUUUUUUACCUAAUUCAAUCCUAUAUGUCAAAACCCUAAACACUACUUUGAGUCCUGAGCUUGUCAAACCUUACAUAGUGAAGAUGUUACAUACUUUUGCAAAUUGUAGUUUUGAAUUCGAACUUUUGUAAUCAGAAUCUCAGAACAAGAAGUAAAAGAAUGAAUCUUAAGGAGGAGAAUGUAGAGUUUACCGGAGAAAUUGGACGCCGGCGGGCGAAGUGAAUAGAGUUAGAACCACCGGAGUUAACUUCAAACAGAGAUUAAUAAGAUAAUGUGGAGUUACUAUGCAGCCUACUUACAUAAGAGUAAGGGUGGCAAACGGUCCGGGCCCGGUCCCAAACGGGGCUCACGGGCCGGUCCUAAAUGGUCCAAUCUUAUGUGGGUCUGGGCUUCAUGGUCCGAGUUUAAGCGGUUUCGGGCUAGGGGCUCACGGGCCGGUCCUAAAUGGUCCGAUCUUAUGUGGUUCUGGGCUUCAUGGUCCGAGUUUAAGCGGUUUCGGGCUUCGUGAGCUUUUGGGGUGUAACUAGAUCGGGACCAUGAACUAAUGGUCCUGGUCUAUAUGGACUGGGAUCGGUCUUAAAUGGACCGAAGUGGGCCUUGAUUAUUUUAAAAAAAAACUUAUCUAAGACAAUUUCUUGUAAAUUGGACGCCGGCGGGCGAAGUGAAUAGAGAUAGAACCACCGGAGUUAACUUCAAACAGAGAUUAAUAAGAUAAUGUGGAGUUACUAUGCAGCCUACUUACAUAAGAGUAAGGGUGGCAAACGGUCCGGGCCCGGUCCCAAACGGGGCUCACGGGCCGGUCCUAAAUGGUCCAAUCUUAUGUGGGUCUGGGCUUCAUGGUCCGAGUUUAAGCGGUUUCGGGCUUCGUGAGCUUUUGGGGUGUAAGCAGAUCGGGACCCCGAACUAAUGGUCCUGGUCUAUAUGGACUGGGCUCGGUCUUAAAUGGACCGAAGUGGGGCUUGAUUAUUUAAAAAAAAAAACUUAUCUAAGGCAAUUUCUUGUAAAUUAUAUAGCUUAUAUAUAUUAUAUAUACUAUAUCUAUAUCUAUAAAUAUAUAUAUACUUUAUACAUUGCUUAUAUAUAUACACACAUAUGUGUGGGCCUAUUUAUACGUGGGGCUAUUUUUAGUUUAAAUUUUUUAUCUACGGUAUUUUCUUGUAAAUUAUAUUAUAUAGUUGUGACUUAAAAAUUUUAAUUCAAAUAUGAAACACAAAAUGUUGUAAAAAGAUAUUUAAAGGAAUGCGUUAUAAUUUUGGUGUCCCAAGUCACCGAUUUAUUUUAAAAUCCCAAAUCAAGGAAAUUUCGACUUUCCUUUUAAAGUCUGCGAAGCAGAAAUUCUGAAUAAGGAAUUCUAUUAACCCGAUGGAAGGUGUUAGGCACCCCCGGAUUCCGUGGUUCAAGCACUGUCGCUUAAACUAUUACAAUUGGCCUAUUAUCUGAUUUUAAUACAUGUUUUAGCCUAUGUAGCUUAUUAAACCGCCUUUAAUUAUUUUUAGGAAGAUUCAACGUUAUCUAAAACACGUCUUGAACCACGUCACAUGAAAUGCACCCGCGGUCCACGACACAUUUAUCUGACGUUGUUGAGAAUUGGAGUUAGGUCACAUGAAAUGCACACCCGAGUUUAGAAAAUUAAUUUUUUAAAAUAGCGUACCUAAAGCAACCAACCACUUUCAAGUUAAUAACAAAGUUUGUGAAGGCCAUGGAAAAUUCAACUAAUGGCACGUCUCGAUUUCUAAAGAACUAAAAUUAAUUAAUUGAGGGCCAUGAGCUUUGAGAUUUUAUUUGGCAUGACACGCCUCGAAUUAUUUCAAAAGGGUUUAUUAUUCGAAGUUAUUAUAAUCGGGUCACAUGAAAUGCAACCUCGAAUUUUGAAAGUAGGCAUCAUAACUAUGUCACGAGAACCGUAUCCAAAGCUACGAAUAUUCAUGAUUAUUUUCCUAAGUUUCGGAUUAUAAGCUUAGAGGACACAUUCUUAAAUUCUGUAGCUCUAGUUUUGGGCCUUGCAAAAACGCUCAUAAUUAUUUCAAAAUGGUUUAUUAUUCGAAGUUAUUAUAAUCGAGUCACAUGAAAUGCAGCCUCGAAUUUUAGAAACUAGGCAUCAUAACUAUGUCACGGGAACCGUAUCCAAAACUACGAAUGUUCAUGAUUAUUUUCCUAAGUUUCGGAUUAUAAGCUUAGAGCAGUCAUUCUUAAAUUCCGUAGCUCAAGAUAUUGGUUUUGGGCCUUGCACAAAAGCGCACACCCCUACCAAAAACAUGCAGUUCUAACAUGUAGUAACUCUUCUGUUAGUAAGUCUCACAAGUCAAAAAGGGACAAACUAAUUGAAAUACAAGAGUAUCUAUGAAGGAGGAAGAAAGGAUCAUAGUGUUAUAGAGUUGACGCAAACUAAAAGAAAUCAUGUUUUUUGUCCUUUCAUAGAAAAAUCUGCAACAAGACAAGAUAGAGCUCGAAUAUCCCAUUUGGCAGUAUGCUAGUAUAUCUUCAUUCAUUAAUGCACUGUACUUGAAAAGCAAAUGUAUUCGAAAGAAGACAAGUUUGACGUGUGUGAUGUGUCCAAUUUGAGGAUCAGUUCUUCGUGGAGAAUUCAGUACAGCACUGCUAAAAUAUUUUGAAUUAAAAGUGCUUCAGGAGAAGUUAUGAUGGCCCAGAAAUAUAAGAGGUGCAUUAGAAAGAAGACACGCCAACAUUUUCCAAGUAGAUGAUACUCCCUUAAAAGAUAUCACAGUAGUGUCUUUGUUUCUGUCCUUGCAACUAAAGUGCGAGGAUCUUAAUCCCGACACUCUUGCUACUAAAGUGCAAUGAUCUUAAAUCCCAAAAACUCUUGCCACUAAAGUGCAAGGAGGUUAACUGCCAAAACGCAUUAUCAAAUUUAAAACAAAGCUCUACCAUUAAUUUUUAGAAAAAAAACAAGCAUGCUGCAAAUUACGAUUAUUCUGAUAGAAACUCAAGCAAGAACUACUAUUGUGGAACUGAAACACAUUAGUAAAGCUCACACGAAACAUCUCUAAUACAAAAAAUUUCCGGAAGAGUGGAUGUAGUUAACAAAAGAACAUAUGAUUUUGAAACGGAAAAUUCUCCACAGCUGUUUGAAUAUUGGGACUAAUACCCGGAAAUAAGCUGGGAGGCCUCCCCUCACGGAGAUACAAGAGAUGAAAGAUCAACUGAGGCUUGUUAGACAACCACCCAUCAAGAAACAUAAACACAUAAUUCCUCUCUAUAUGAUGCUAUACAAAAUUAAAUUAUUCAAGAAAAGCCCAAAUAUGGUAGGUGAUUAGGAGAUAAACACAACACUAAGACACUUCUCAACUCAUGAAAUUUAGCAAAUCCAAUUAUAUAACUCAAAAGUAAAUACAGAGAUCUGGUGUGUACCUAUUUGCAAGGAAAAUGAGCUAAACCAAACCAAUGAUAAGAAUGGACCUUGGGCCUAACUCAACCCUAAGGAGACCAAGGACCUCAAAUCCCUCCGAUGUGGGAUAAUCCCCUCACGCCCAAAUUUCUAGAGCGUGGACAACAUAAAUGGGGGCCCAACAUCGGUAACAAUAAUUGGGAUAGGCCUGGCUCUUAUACCAUGAUAAGAAUGGACCUUGGGCCUAACUAAACCCCAAAAGCUAGCUUAUGAGGUACGGAUUGCCCAAGCCAUAUAAGGAAGACCUCAAAUCCCUCCGAUGUGGGAUAAUCCUAUUUGAGGUCCUUCGUCUCCUUAUAUGGCUUGGGCAAUCCUCACCUCAUAAGAUCUGAAACUGGUUGAACAAGAAAACUUGAAUAGAACUGAUUAAAAAUCGAGACCAACUUGAAUGAAGCUCAGCCCAAAACUUCAGCAAACAACACCAGCAAGCAAACCUCACAACUUUGAAAUAAUCUUUAACGGCUCCAUCGAGCUUAAACCCUGCUUGAAACCACUCGAUUUCUCAACCAAGUUCGCCGGAGAAGGAGAUUAAAAGAGCAGCAGUCGGAGCGCGGCCUCAACUCGCCAAAGAAGACGACCGAAUCAAAGUUGGAGGCCUUUUCCAGUAAAUAGACAUAAACAAAUAAUGGGAAUUUUCGAAGGAAAAUGAAUUACUGCAUUGAUGAUUGUUUCGAAGUCUUUUUGACUGAUUUACGCUGAUUUUUCGAUCUGAUUUCAAGGUGAUUUGGGGAUUGGAGGAGAUAUUGGCUGGAAGAUGACUGGAGGAGCUAUUUUAAUUUGGUGGUGAAGAUGGUUACUCAGUCCACAAGAACA
rnacentral:lncRNA from 1 species